rnacentral:rRNA from 1 species
GAUGAACGCUGGCGGCGUGCCUAAUACAUGCAAGUCGAGCGAACAGACGAGGAGCUUGCUCCUCUGACGUUAGCGGCGGACGGGUGAGUAACACGUGGAUAACCUACCUAUAAGACUGGGAUAACUGCGGGAAACCGGAUCUAAUACCGGAUAAUAUAUUUAACCGCAUGGUGCAAUAGUGAAAGACGGUUUUGCUGGCACUUAUAUAUGGACGCGCGCCGCAUGAGCUAGUUGGUAAGGAAACGGCUUACCAAGGCAACGAUGCGUAGCCGACCUGAGAGGGUGAUCGGCCACACUGGAACUGAGACACGGUCCAGACUCCUACGGGAGGCAGCAGUAGGGAAUCUUCCGCAAUGGGCGAAAGCCUGCCGGAGCAACGCCGCGUGAGUGAUGAAGGUCUUCGGAUCGUAAAACUCUGUUAUUAGGGAAGAACAAAUGUGUAAGUAACUAUGCACGUCUUGACGGUACCUAAUCAGAAAGCCACGGCUAACUACGUG